UUUCAGCUAUAAAUUGGGUUUGAAGCUGGGAGGUGUGUGUUGCUUUCACCUGCACCGCAGCCAUCAUGGAACUGGAGCUGUGUUUGAAUAUCAGAGACCCAGCCUUGGUUUGGCCUCUGUGGACUCCAGUCUCUCCAGGGGAGGAAAAGAGAACAAUUUCAUGAGAUUCCUUUGUAACAGAAGAGUUGAGGUUGUUAUAUAUUGCCACAUGUUGGGGACUUUGCAUUCACCCCUGGGGGGUGAUGAGAACUGAACUCAUGUCUUUGUGCACUUGGCCAACAGGCCCACCCCAAAUUUCACAUGUGGCCCUAGCAUUGCGUGCCAUAUUGGUGGAUAUUUAUAAUGUGGACUCAGAUAAGCUGAAUGGACUAUAUACAAAGUGGUGGCAUGGCACUGCAGCUAAGAGCACGCUCCUGGGCAUGAUGAACACCAAUGACUCCACGCUGGCAGAGGAUUCUCAUCCAAGCAUAUUUCUGUAGAAGUUCCAAGGACUAACUUCAAAGGAAACUGACUCCAGCAACCGGACAGUCCAGCUUCAGGAGACUUGAUGACUUCCAUCCAUGAAAACCGGACCUCCACUUGACCAGCUUCAAGAUAAUCAUCGGAAUAGACUGUGCUGACUUACACAUAGAGAACUUCCAACUCCCCUCCCCAUGGUUUUUUUGUUCUGCUUUCCCUCUCCCUCCUUGUAAACCCCUGCCUGCACUGAGAUGUAAAGGUGGUCUUUAGGACAGGAGUCCGCCAUCUGCUCAGGUUGCCGGCAUUUGAGUAAACUGUCUUUUUUCCAUCAACACCUGU